rnacentral:lncRNA from 10 species
CCAGUGCUUCUGAAUUUGAAAGUCUUCAUGCAAAUUGCCCAGGUUUGCUGGCAGCUGUGUCUCAGAAAAAGCUGUCUUCAGCAAGGCAGAAGCAGACCAGGGUGGUCCAGAGUUGGUGACUAUUAUGGCAUGGCUACCCAGGGCCAGAGAGGUGAGGUUUAAUGAGAAAGAAGAUAGAUGAAAAUGACUCCUCCUCCUGCUUUCACUGCUGCAGCAACUCAGGCCUGCAGACAAGAUCCAGCUCUAUUGCCCAAGCUGGAGUGCAGUGGUGAGAUAAUGAUUCACUGCAGCCUUGAUCUCCUGGGCUCAAGCAGUUCUCCUGCCUCAGCCUCCUGAGUAGCUGGGACCACAGGCACCCUCCACCAUGUCUGGCCAAAAUUUUUUGAAUUUUUUGUAGAGACCAGGUUUCACCAUGUUGCCCAGGCUGAUUUCAAAUUCCUGGGCUCAAGUGAUCUUCCUGCCUCAGCCUCUCAAAGUGCUGAGAUUACAAGUGUGAGCCACCACACCCAGCCAAAAUAUAAAUACGCCUUUAAUAGUAACACCUAAUUACCUAACACCAUCAAAAAUGGGGUGCUCCAUGAAGAAGCACAUAAUUCAAAUUAUUGAAGUUUAUCCCUUCUAAUGACCACAUAGAUUUCUCUUGCCCCAUUAAAAAAUUAGAUAAUCAGUAUUUCUAGGAUAGUUGUUUUCUUCCAACCAAUUAAGGCAUAAUCUAUGUAGCAGAACAUUCAGAGGAUGAUGCCUGGUCAACAUUUGAAUAAACAAUCACUGUGAUGUUACCUCUAUUUAAGAUGACUCCAAUAAAACUUCUAUGGUUUGCAUUAUUAGUUGAUCAGACUUUAAGCAUUAUCUUUUGAUAGGGUCAAGGA